CUUCUUCAUUUUAACCACCUUUUUAGGUUGUCAACACAAAAAUAUUAUUCUUAAUUUCAUUUAACAUACUUUAUGUUGCCAUAAUAUCUCAAGUCGUCGGUAAUGUGAUGAUUAACAACUUAAGUUCCUUGUUAGUCUACACUACUCAUUAGUCUUCACAUUCUCUCUAUUGGCUACAAAUUUCGAAUUAUCUAUUUUGACUCUGCACUACACUACUUAUUCCUCCAUUUAUAACAAAACAAGAAAGGGGGGAAAACGAAAAGUCGAACCCUCCUUCUCGCCCAACCCUUCUUCCUCAAACCAACCCUAUAAAACGAAGUAUGGUUCAUGCACAUUAAUCCAACCUUGAGAGAUUCAAGCCUUGGUCCAGCAACUCUAGUUUGCCUGCUCCAAAGGGUCCUCUCAAUCCACAUCUUCAACCCUAAGGUGCAUGAACCCUAGCUCAAGAAUUUGGGAAGAACUCAAACCCUUCUUGCGCCUG
rnacentral:lncRNA from 1 species